AGAAGAAAAGAAGAACCAAUGAAAAAAAUGGAGAUAUCUUUUGCACCACAAUAUGUUGGCGCCUUUAUUUCCAAUUGUCUUUUUGGAUUGGCUUAUACUUGGUUCUCUGUUGGCUUUGUGACAUUCAUA
rnacentral:ribozyme from 13 species